UCUCCGUUGGUGAACCAGCGGAGGGAUCAUUACAGGACUCGCAAGACUCCUUCACCCUGUGAACCUCACUACAAGCACGUUGCUUCGGCGGGUGUCCCGGCGGGGGUUUUCCCUCGCCGGGGCGCACAGCCCGCCGGCAGCCUACUAUACUCUGUCUCUUUGCGUUGGCAUCUCGAGAAAAAACAAACAAGUUAAAACUUACAACAACGGAUCUCUUGGUUCUG
rnacentral:misc_RNA from 1 species